rnacentral:rRNA from 1 species
CAGCAUACUGCCGUGAAUACGUUCCCGGGCCUUGUACACACCGCCCGUCACACCAUGAGAGUUGGGAAUACCCGAAGCCUGUGAGCUAACUAUACGAGGCAGCAGUCGAAGGUAGAAUCAAUGAUUGGGGUGAAGUCGUAACAAGGUAUC